rnacentral:lncRNA from 1 species
GAGGAGUAAGAGAAAGCACGGGCUCCACUCUCUGCCGGCUGAGAUCCCCACCAAUACGAGCAGUUCUCCAGAAACAAGCAUGAAAACCCUCCAGAAAAACCCACCAUUACCCCACUUCAUCUCCACAGGCUACAAAACAACAGCAAAGGCGCUUUGAGACAGAGCACUUUCUGAUUAGUCCUUUAAGAGAAAACCUUUCCUCAGCAGGAAAUGAUGUUCCAGAGGCUGCUGGACAGAAAUAUAGAAACAACUAUAAUCCAGCUGCCCCUGAGUGAGCCACGCAGUCCCUCAACACAGCAUGUUCCUUAGUUCCUCAGGCCCACCCAAUCUCUGUGGCCACUCCAGGACCCCCCACCAAGAGCCUGCAGGAACACC